AUUACCCAGACAAGCUGAAAUACUGGUAAGUUAAGUUUUGCUUGUGAAUUUUACUUUUAUUCUUCUGUUUAUUGUUUGUCUGUACCUGUGUGACCUGUUAUCUGACAGGUGUUAUCACUGUUUUGGGGAAAUUUUUGAACGGGGUCCAAGAACACAAAGUGAAUCCUUCUUUUCCUCUUUACCUACUGUUCCUUGGUAUCUUUUCUUUGCAGAGCCAAAAUGAGUGAUAUCAACAUUAACAUUGGUAACUCCAGUCAGAAUUGUUGUCCUAGGGAGGGCAUCUAUGCCAAGGAACUUCUCAUUCUUCAUAUACAACUAACACAGAUUUAGCAACGUAUGCAUGGGAGCAGAUGCGCAUCAAAGGAAUGGAUAAUGCUACAAGUGUAAUGCAUUUAUACUGUUUCAAGAAUGACCUUGUGCAGGUCUAGAAAGACCUAGUCUUAUUAGUUAUGGAGAGGAUUAAAGAGGUGGGCUUCACAUUUUGCUCUGAGGGAGGAAAAACCUACAUCUCACUAUAUGUCCAAAAUUCUUGUUGUAGCCUAAAAUAUACUAUAUACAGCAUAGCCUUCUAUUUGUACUCUAUAAUGACUUUUCAUGUGCUGCUGGUAAUACUAUGGAAUUGAUUUUAUGAGUAUAGAAAACUUACUUUCAUUAUAAAAUCACAAAAUAUGUUAACUUUCUUAAAGAAAUAAAACUGAGUUUUUAACUAAUGCCUCUCUCUGUUUCAUUAUAAAGGAAUUCUAAACACACUAAAACACGGGAAAAUAAGUCUACUAAGACAAGAUGACCACAAGAUUUGA